rnacentral:misc_RNA from 1 species
GAUGAAAGAACGUAGCGAAAUGCGAUAAGUAAUGUGAAUUGCAGAAUUCAGUGAAUCAUCGAAUCUUUGAACGCACCUUGCGCCCUUUGGACAUUCCGAAGGGCAUGCCUGUUUGAGUAUCAUGAACACCUCAACUCUCACGGCUUGUCCGUGAUGAGCUUGGACUUUGGGGGUCUUGCCGGCCUGUGGUCGGCUCCUCUCAAAUGGAUCAGCUUGCCAGUGUUUGGUGGCAUCACAGGUGUGAUAACUAUCUGCGCUUGUGGUUUUCCAUCAGAUAACCUUCAGUGAUAUGGAGGUUCGCUGGAGCUCACAAAUGUCUCUCCUUAGUGAGGACAGCUCUUUGAACGUUUGAUCUCAAAUCAGGUAGGACUACCCGCUGAACUUAAGCAUAUCAAUAAGCGGAGGA